rnacentral:rRNA from 1 species
GACGAACGCUGGCGGCGUGCUUAACACAUGCAAGUCGAACGGAAAGGCCCUGCUUUUGUGGGGUGCUCGAGUGGCGAACGGGUGAGUAACACGUGAGUAACCUGCCCUUGACUUUGGGAUAACUUCAGGAAACUGGGGCUAAUACCGGAUAGGAGCUACUGCUGCAUGGUGGGGGUUGGAAAGUUUCGGCGGUUGGGGAUGGACUCGCGGCUUAUCAGCUUGUUGGUGGGGUAGUGGCUUACCACGGCUUUGACGGGUAGCCGGCCUGAGAGGGUGACCGGCCACAUUGGGACUGAGAUGCGGCCCAGACUCCUACGGUAGGCAGCGGUGGGGAAUAGUGCACAAUGGGCGGAAGCCUGAUGCAGCAACGCCGCGUGCGGUAUGACGGCCUUCGGGUUGUAUACCGCUUUCGCCUGUGACGAAGCGUGAGUGACGGUAAUGGGUAAAGAAGCACCGGCUAACUACGUG